rnacentral:rRNA from 1 species
AGUGAACGCUGGCGGUAGGCCUAACACAUGCAAGUCGAACGGCAGCACAGUAAGAGCUUGCUCUUACGGGUGGCGAGUGGCGGACGGGUGAGGAAUACAUCGGAAUCUACUUUUUCGUGGGGGAUAACGUAGGGAAACUUACGCUAAUACCGCAUACGACCUACGGGUGAAAGCAGGGGAUCUUCGGACCUUGCGCGAUUGAAUGAGCCGAUGUCGGAUUAGCUAGUUGGCGGGGUAAAGGCCCACCAAGGCGACGAUCCGUAGCUGGUCUGAGAGGAUGAUCAGCCACACUGGAACUGAGACACGGUCCAGACUCCUACGGGAGGCAGCAGUGGGGAAUAUAGGACAAUGGGCGCAAGCCUGAUCCAGCCAUACCGCGUGGGUGAAGAAGGCCUUCGGGUUGUAAAGCCCUUUUGUUGGGAAAGAAAAGCAGCAGGCUAAUACCCCGCUGUUCUGACGGUACCCAAAGAAUAAGCACCGGCUAACUUCGUG